AGGGUCUCUUGUGAAGCAGCCAGUCCAGUGGGGCAAAAAUGGACAAACUAAUGUCCUUGACUUUCCUUCCUGGUGUGCUGCUCAAUGAAACAAGCUAACCCAGCAUUCCUUCUGACGAAGCAGGAGUCAGGUGACCUCGGGCCAUUCCCCAGCCCAGGAGCAGCAGUGGGGUGACUGUGUGCUGAGAGUGCUCUGAGGACCUCCCUCUGUCCUGUGUUCAGAGAGGAGACCUCACGGGCCUCCCCGUGAGAGCUGCACACCUGCUUAGCGUCCGCCCCGUGCUAGUUACGCUGCCGCUUUCCCCGUCUCCCCCACCAGACAGCACUCACCCAGUAUGACAGUUCUUCCAGCAGAGCCAAGACCUGGUUUCAGCAUCUUCCUCAAAUUAGCUCCACAGGCAGCCGCUUCAGAUCAUCCAGUCAGCGGGAGAGAGGGGACUAGUUUGCAAUCCUGCUUCUGAGUGAUUUCAUCUAAUAGACAAUUCUGAAGUCGGCCUCCAGGGAAUGAGGUGAAAUGUCUACAAUGGUGUGUCAAUUUCUUGAGAUCUUGAGAGUUUCAAUUAGCCAAAGACUGCAGAUUGCUUGGAGAUGGAAGCUGUUGCUUCUGGAGUUUUUUUUUAAAGUGGAGCAGAAGAAAAACAUCCAGGCUAGACGCAGGGCACACAUAUGAACUCUGUGCAGGAUUCAACAGAAUUGUAUGCCAACAGAGGUCCCCUCGUCCAGAUGGAGAGUCUCUGCACUUUCAAGAAACACUUCUGACCACAAAAGAGCCCCCAACAGAAGCAUCAUCCCCUCCAGGUCCAGACAAUCUUUCUUUAGGGCAAAUGGCCACUUAAACAUAAAGUUCAUGGGGCUGGUCAAUUUAACACACUUAUUUACUCUGUAUGGAUAAUUUAGGUACCCAGGUGGUUGAUAUUUCUAGGCUUUUAAGUGCCUUUUAGCCAUUCUUUUUAGCUUUUACUCAAAUCAUAUAAGAAAUUCUGUUGAAGUAUAACAUUAAAGUUUUCAGUUGUGGGAACAUCUGUAUGUAUACGUAUGUAGGUAGUCUACCAUACUGGGCCAGGAAUUAUGUAGUUUAGCAGAAAAGAAAAAAACCCCAAUGCAUUAUGAAUUCUUCUGUUUUACAUGUUUUCCCAAGGAAGGUUUAUAAUUUAGGCAGAAUAAAUUAUUGAUAAAUUGUAUAUCUCUAUUUGCCAUUUUUAUAAGGGAACUUCUUAGACCCAUCCUGUAUUUAUAUAAGAACUCAAAC
ensembl:lncRNA